AUUGAACGCUGGCGGCAGGCCUAACACAUGCAAGUCGAACGAGUGGCGGAAGGGUGAGAAAUGUCUGGGAAACUGCCCGAUGGAGGGGGAUAAAGACUGGAAGCGGUAGCUAAUACCGCAUACUACCCGAUGUGACCAGCUAGGAUUGGCUUGUAGGUGAGGUAACGGCUCACCUAGGCGACGAUCCCUAGCGGGUCUGAGAGGAUGACCAGCCACACUGGAACUGAGACACGGUCCAGACUCCUACGGGAGGCAGCAGUGGGGAAUAGUGCACAAUGGGCGAAAGCCUGAGGAAGCCAUGCCGCGUGUAUGAAGAAGGCCUUCGGGUUGGAAAGUACUUUCAGCGGGGAGGCGUUACCCGCAGAAGAAGCACCGGCUAACUCCGUGCCAGCAGCCGCGGUAAUUC
rnacentral:rRNA from 1 species